UCGCUAGGCGUUGUGGAGUCGUUGUUGAAAUACCACCCUUUGCUUAUCUGAAGCCUAACCUCUAACGAGGAACAGUGCGUGGUGGGUAGUUUGACUGGGGUGGUCGCCUCCAAAAGAGUAACGGAGGCUUCUAAAGGUACCCUCAGCACGCUUGGUAACCGUGCGUAGAGUGCAAUGGCAUAAGGGUGCUUGACUGAGAGACAUACAGGUCGAUCAGGUUGGAAAC
rnacentral:rRNA from 1 species